rnacentral:rRNA from 1 species
UGUCGUCAGCUCGUGUCGUGAGAUGUUGGGUUAAGUCCCGCCAACGAGCGCAACCCUCGCCCUUACGUUGCCAGCAUUAGUUGGGCACUCUAAGGGGACGUGCCGGUGAUAAGCCGAGAGGAAGGUGGGGAUGACGUCAAGUCCUCAUGGCCCUUACGGGCUGGGCUACACACGUGCUACAAUGGUGGUGACAGUGGGCAGCGAGCACGCGAGUGUGAGCUAAUCUCCAAAAGCCAUCUCAGUUCGGAUUGCACUCUGCAACUCGAGUGCAUGAAGUUGGAAUCGCUAGUAAUCGCGGAUCAGCAUGCCGCGGUGAAUACGUUCCCGGGCCUU